UAGUGUGUGUUUGGGAACACGUUUUCAAAGAACAAACUGGAGUUUACUUUUUCAAACCACGUUUCCAGGCAUUUCAGUUUGUUUGGGUGAAUGAAAAGCACUUCCAAAAAACUCAAUUUUGAGACAAAAACGCAGGUACAGUUAAAGCAGGAAUUCCUAGCUUCUGCGGUAGAGAAAACGCAGGUACAACCUUUAAUUUCUCAAGUGGCAGAUCUGAAUUUCCUUCUGCAAGUUGAAGGUCAUUGCACAAGGAAGCUUUCAGCUUAUUCAAUAAGGAUGGUAGAAAGAAUGGAAUGAAAUUAUUGAGAGAUAGAGGAAGAAGAAAUUGCAACUGUGUAUUAAGAGAUGAGGAAGGGUGUAGAAACAGUGAAGAAAGUUGUGGAGAAAUGGAAGGGAAACACAGAAACUGAGAAAAAGAAAAGUGUGGUAGUUUUUUCUUUUUAAUUGGCCGUAGUGUUUUUUUUUUGUUGAAAAAAGAAAAUCAUUUUUUUUUUGUUUUAAGUUGAAUCAAUGUAUUUCAUCAAGUUAUUGUACUAUACUUUGUAUAUAAGCAAAGAUUCUACAAA